AGGGAUGUAACACAACUUGGUAGUGUAUUUGUUUUGGGUACAAAAUGUCAUAGGUUCAAAUCCUAUCAUCCCUA
rnacentral:tRNA from 1 species